rnacentral:lncRNA from 1 species
AUGCCCGAAGGACCAGGCCCCACUGCAGCUGCCCUUGGAGUCUACUCUGCACACGGAGCAAAGGGGAGCUGUCAAGGGCGUGGUCUCUCUCCACCUCCAGCUGUGCCAGGAAAUCUCGCGUGGCACCCACUAUUGCGAGAGGACUCGCCCACUGGAUCUGGGGCCCAUGGGGGAAAGAGAAGUAAGCAAGGAGCAGCAGGCUCCGUUCCACCUCUGGUGCCCAAGGGCCAGGGCCAGUGCCACGUUGGUGGCAGAGAGUCACAAGACCAAGCCCGGGGAAGCUCCGAUCCAGCCCCUGCUUUUUCCAGCUCUUCCGGCUCCUCUCCCUGCUCCUCCUCCUCCUUGGGGUGGCCCCGUGGAGCAGGGGGAGCACAAAGAAGGCAGAAGGGAAGCAGCAACCGAAGAAGCGAGGGAUGCAGGCUGGGGCGGGGCCCUCACUGGAGCAGUGGCUCAGAUCAGCCAGGAGGGAGAGAGUGGCCCAGCCCCGAGGGACAAGCAGGAGCCCUGUGUCCUGGCGUGAAGACCAUGGAUGAGUGGGAGACAGCGCGGUCCUACAGGAAAUCAGACCAAAGAGUGACACAGGGGUCAAUAAGCCAAGCCACCCCAGGGGACGGCCUGACCACGCAGGGCCCUGGCUGGCCAGGGGUUGUGGAUGGUGCCUGGGACACAGCCUGGAGGCAGGCACAGGUGGCUGCAGGCCCAACGGGUGCUGUUCGCCUGUCUCCUGCGCUUUGGCCUCUGGCCCCGCCCAGCCUCCGCUCUCCCGCAGGACUGGGGGGCGGGGCCCCUGACCCACUCAACACCUCCAUCUGCAGGAGCACAGCUUCCCAGGCAGGGAGGCCUCCCUGCUACAGACAGCAAAUGAAAACGGAAAGAACCGUCCCUUCUUGGAACACCAGCUCUCCCUUCUUGCCCUGCAGCCCCCACCGGGAACACGGGGAUGGCGAUGGCGAUGCUACUGCGUUCUUCCCGAAGGAUGUUUGCGGUUUUCAUUCAUUCAAGACGUUUUGUUGA